AGUAACUCUGAAAUAAAAAUGGAGGGGUGUGGCAUGAGACGUGAAACUCCACAAUGCGAGUCUUAAACUGCGCUUAGCAAACCUUGUAACCGUAAAGUAGCCAUAGGGGAAAAAAUUUGUAACUUCGUGCUUAUUUCAUCUGAAAUCACAAGACGAUUUGCAAUAACUGACAAUUUGGCACUGGAAUUAAAUAGUGAUAAUCUGUCAAAAUAGUCAAGUACAACUACAUAAAAUGAGGGAUUCAGAUGAUGCUGAUGAUAUUUGGGAAAAUGUAAAACCAACCACAAAGAAGAAUGUCUUUGAUGAGGAUGUGUCUGUUGAGGCAUUAAAGAAAGGUAUCAAAAACUUUAAUGAUGAAGACGAUGCAGAAAUCAUUGGCAUUGAAGGGAACUUUGUGCAUUAUGAGAACAAGGGAGUGGACUAUACUUGUGCUCCAGAUUUAUCUUCCCUUGCUACUCCAGUUCUUGCCCCUGCUUCCUUACGUCUUACCCCUGCUGUACCAGAACCCAAGUACUCCUUUGGAAGUGCCUCUAAGGCUGCCAAUCAUGUUCGUUCUCAGAGUUUUACUUUCGCAGCACCAAAAUCAACAUCUGAAGCCUUUCCAAAAGUCAGUAUGGUGCCUGAAAAAAAUACCAGUUCAAGCAGCCUUAGCAUGAGCAUAGAAGAAGUGGUCAACAGUGGGAAGAAAGGGCCACAAGAUGUUGAGAAAAUGCAGCAGACUAUUCAGAUUCUCAAAAAACAGCUGCUGACAGCAAGGCGUGAGAGGUGGAUAAAGUUGCCAGUUGAAGCCACACUUCGCAGGAUUAUGAAAGGAGAGGCAUACUCUCUUGAAGCAUAUCGUGCGCUUGAAGACAAACUUGCUCUCCUAGACCAAGCAACAGCUCUGCAAGAUGGCAAUGCAAUUACAGCUGCUGUGCUGCAUUUGCGCCACACAGUGAAGAAAUCUAUUUUCUCUAUAGAACUAGCGAAACGGCCUGUGGCAGCUAAUCAUUAUCUCAGUUAUCUUCGGGCUCACUAUGAACAUGCUGAACUUGUUGAUACAUUGGUAUCUCUGAGAAGGACAGAGGAGGCAUCAAUUGUAAAGUACAAAGUAAUAUGCAACUCUGGAGAUGUCAGAAACAAGGUAUCCAUGCUGAAAACAUGUCUCAGAACUCACUUUGAAGCAGACUCUUCAAUGGCAGGGGAUGCAGCUUUAGUUAGGGAACAUGUGGACCUGCUGGAGCGCCAGCUACCAAUUGAAGAUUCUGAUGCCAGGCUGGAAGCAGAGGGUAGAACAAAAGUCUUCAGGGAUUUUCCUCGGCGUCAUUCAUUGCUAGACAUGCCUCUGACCACCACUCUUUUCUACUCAUGCCUUUAUCAUCAUCAUGAGCUCGAGAAUAGCUUAUCCAGCCCUCUUUCUCUUAAGAAGAGACAUGAGAUACCAGAGCGACAGUAUAUUUGGACUGCACUGAGUGCACGUGCCAAAGCCCAUGCUUGGGCAGACAUUGAAAAUUUAUUAACAGCAAAGAGUUGGUUUGGUGGAAAGAAGAUGAAGGCGCCAAUAGGCUUUGAUAAAGUGGUGGAAAUCUUGAACAAGUUCAAUGCUCCCACUGAUGCAAGUUUAGCCAUAUCCUGACCAAAUAUCUGGAGCUGGUGGAAGAUCUUGACAUAAGACUAUCUCUAAGCAAGAAAAUUAGUAACCACAAAGUCACUGUUGAGACUCUUGUGAAGCUAAAAGAUCGAGCAGGUG
rnacentral:misc_RNA from 1 species